GACGAACGCUGGCGGCGUGCUUAACACAUGCAAGUCGAACGGUGAAGCGAGUGCUUGCACUCGUGGAUCAGUGGCGAACGGGUGAGUAAUACGUGAGUAACCUGCCCAUCACUCUGGGAUAAGCACUGGAAACGGUGUCUAAUACUGGAUACGACCAACCCUUGCAUGGGGUGUUGGUGGAAAGAUUUAUCGGUGAUGGAUGGACUCGCGGCCUAUCAGCUUGUUGGCGGGGUAAUGGCCCACCAAGGCGACGACGGGUAGCCGGCCUGAGAGGGUGACCGGCCACACUGGGACUGAGACACGGCCCAGACUCCUACGGGAGGCAGCAGUGGGGAAUAUUGCACAAUGGGCGAAAGCCUGAUGCAGCGACGCCGCGUGAGGGAUGACGGCCUUCGGGUUGUAAACCUCUUUCAGCAGGGAAGAAGCGAAAGUGACGGUACCUGCAGAAGAAGCACCGGCUAACUACGUG
rnacentral:rRNA from 1 species